rnacentral:rRNA from 1 species
GACGAACGCUGGCGGCGUGCUUAACACAUGCAAGUCGAACGGAAAGGCCCUGCUUUUGUGGGGUGCUCGAGUGGCGAACGGGUGAGUAACACGUGAGUAACCUGCCCUUGACUUUGGGAUAACUUCAGGAAACUGGGGCUAAUACCGGAUAGGAGCUCCUGCUGCAUGGUGGGGGUUGGAAAGUUUCGGCGGUUGGGGAUGGACUCGCGGCUUAUCAGCUUGUUGGUGGGGUAGUGGCUUACCAAGGCUUUGACGGGUAGCCGGCCUGAGAGGGUGACCGGCCAAAUUGGGACUGAGAUACGGCCCAGACUCAUACGGGAGGCAGCAGUGGGGAAUAUUGCACAAUGGGCGGAAGCCUGAUGCAGCAACGCCGCGUGCGGGAUGACGGCCUUCGGGUUGUAAACCGCUUUCGCCUGUGACGAAGCGUGAGUGACGGUAAUGGGUAAAGAAGCACCGGCUAACUACGUG